rnacentral:lncRNA from 1 species
UUGUCGGUACAAACCCUAGUGCCAAACUGUGAAGACACUAGUAAUUUUUUAGAAAUAAUCAAUUUAAAUUAAUUAAGUAAAUAGCUGCAAUAUAAUUAUUGUAGCAAAAAUGAAAUGAAUAUGAAUAUCUCCUGUAAAUAAAAUUGCAAAAUACUAACAUAGUUUAGUUUCACAUGAAGGUAAAUCGUGAAUUUCAACAACCAUGGAGCAAAAAUGAAAUGAAUAUGAGUACCUCCUGGCAAAUGCCAUGAAAACUUCCAAAUACUGGCAUAGGUAGUAAUUUCCAGAUGGACGUAAAUCCUCACAUUAAAUACAUUGUGAUACCACUACUGCACUAAAUUGUAAGUAGCUAUAGAUUCUGUAAAUUCAGAAACUCUUUAUGUGCCUUGUUGGCAAUAUAUCUUAAAAAUUGUAUUUUAUAACAUAAAAACCCACGUUUGUUAGCCUUCUUGGCACUUUUUCUACAAUCAAUUAGGAAGAGAUAAUAAUGGACUCAGUAGCAACAUCGUCUUUCAAUCUCUGCGUUAUCUACGAUUAAAUUCACCAACUGAAGAGAGGAAAUUGUGGCGCUUCGAAAGCCAAUCUACGUCUCAAGUCUAAGUUUCUUCAAAAUCCAUAAGAAGAGCUAGUGCAUCUCAACUCUCCUUUUCCAAUAUCAUGAAUAAGGACGAAAGCAACGUAGAUCUAUCAGUAGUUCUCUUUAUAGAAGAGGAUGAUGCUCCGGCUGUUGUUGCAUCUAGCUGGCUGAGAUUUCGAGACAAAAUGUGUUAUUGGCCAUCUCACAUUAAAUCUGAGUGUAAAAGAGAAAAGCUGGUCCAUUCCUCCGCUGUCCCAGACCCUGAACAAGGUUGGGAGCUUUGCGCAGUGAGGGUCCUUCAGAAAGGAAUCAAGGAUCCGUUGAUUGCUCGGACCAAGGCGAAAUUGGCAGAAACAACCUCAGACAUAGAGAUACAGCACCUGAAAAGACCCAAAAAACCUGUUCAAAAAUUUUCCCCGGAAGAUACAUCUGAUGAAGAAAAUCAGCGAUCAGAUAAGACAGAUAGGAAAAGGCCAAAGAAAUCCGUAAGUUCUAAACCCAGCCAGGAUUCUGACAAGAAUGAACGCCAGGAACCUGCUCCUACUAUUUAUGCUUCGCCUGCAGAUGUUAGUGGUACAAUACCUUUUAAUGCCUCAAACGCUUCCAGUCAUUUUGAACUUCGCCCUAAUGCUUCUUCUGAGAAUUUUAGCAAAUCGCCUGAUACUCCAAACCUUUAUGAUAGUAGCUCUAAUGCACACUUUGUAGGUGCUUCAAGCAACUUCGAAUCUCACUUUGCCUUUGCUCGCAGUGAUGGUGAAGCACGUGAUCCAUCGCUAUCCUCUGGGCGAGAUUUUUCAAGGACUCUACAAUACCUCAAAUCUGCUGUAGAAAGCAAUGGGAGACUACUGGAAAAAAUUCUGGAGAAAGUAGAGAAGCUAGAAAUUGGGGCAAGUAGCGAAGCUGCCGUUAAAACUAACUCAGCGGAAAGCAACAUUGAUGAAAUGCUUCCGUGUAAAACAUAUCAAGAUGUAUUGAAAGUGGAAGAGACUAUAAUCAAGUCGACUGAUGCACUGAAUAAAUUGACGAAAAUUCUUCAACUUGUCGGAGGUUCGGAGACCAAGACGCUACUACAUAACAUGGUCCGAAAAAUUGUGGUGGAUGAAGUAGCACAGCUGUACAGUUUCAAAGGGGCUGUUGCAGGGAAGAAAUCGUUUCAAAAUCUAAAAAUGUAUAAAGUUUUAAAAGGAGUUAUUCAGAAACAGAAAGCAGAUGCCACUGACGACUAUCUGAAAGACGUAAUUGGAGAUUGGCUGACACAAGCUAAAUUUCGUGUUAAAAGAAGGCUUGAUCGAGCAGCCAAGAAAGUCAACAAUCCUGGUAAAGGCGUGGUUAUUGUAACUAACCAAGUCACCAAUGACCUUGAAGAACCUGGUGUUACUUUAGAAGAUGUAGGACCAGAUGAAAAUCAAGAGGAAAAUCUAGAGAAACAUAAAGAGAGAGAUGAGUUAGAUGAAAAUAUCUAACCAAUUAUGAUGUCUACCAUCUACUUAAAAUAUCCACUACUAUCCAUAGUAAUGUCUGCUGAUACUGUUGUUUUAUCAGAGAGUUGGAUAAUGCUGUUUAGCUCCGUACAUAUUCAUAUGAAUAUUUGUACGUACUUAUGAAUAUUUAUACAGUACAUACCUAAUAUUUAUACGUACGUAAUAUUUAUACGUGUACUCUUAUUCCUUGAGGCUAUUGUUUUUGUGAUUUCUCUUUUGGUAAUUUUUUUACCUUAAUAUUAUUUAGUUUUCUUUUGUUUGCUUUUUUACGGGCGAAUACAUUAGUAAAUUGUAAUCCUGUUUUGCAGCCGCCAAAUUUGACUGAGUUUUCAGCUUCUUCCUUUUUGUAUUUUAUUGAGGAAAUUCAAGAGAGCGAUGAGUUAGAUGAAAAUAUUUAAACAAUUCCGAGAUCUAUCAUCUACGAAUAAUAUUCACUGUAGUAUCCAUAAUAAUGUCUUCUGACAUUUGUUGUUUUUUCAAAGAGCGGAAUGGUUUUGUUUAGCUCCUUAUAUAUUUAUAUGAAUUUUUACACGUGCAUACUUGUGCACUUUUAUUCCUUGAGCCUACUGAUUUUUGUGAUUUCUCUUUGGGUAAUUAUUUUACCUUCAUAUUAUUUAGUUUUCUUUUGUCAUUGAGGAAUAAUAAUUUUUAUUUUUCGCGGGCCAAUACAUUAAUAAUUGUAACCCUGUUUAGCAGCCGCCAAUUUUUGACUGAGUUUUCAGCUUCUUCCUUUUUGUACUUUAUUUUGAGUUGCAUUUCACGAUACACAAGAUGUUAUUGUAAAUCCUUUGACUUAAUUUUUCUUAUUUUCCAGUCAAGUUUGUUGACAACAGAAAAUUAGUUUACACCUAGAACGAUAAUUAGACUGAGCUUAGCAA